rnacentral:tRNA from 1 species
GACCGCAUAGCUCAGUUGGCAGAGCGUUGGGCUAGUAUUCCAAAGGUCGUAGGUUCGAUUCCCACCGUGGCCA